rnacentral:sRNA from 1 species
AAUUUGCGUGAAGGAUUGAAGCGGCAUCCUUUUAUUUUUUUCUUUAAAAAAUAAAAGAUACAGCGGAAAGUCUGGUUUGCU